AGAACCUCCAAUUUUGCAUUUGUCACCUUUAAUUCUGCCUCCAGAGCAAGUUGUUCCUUUUCUCUCCUUAAAUGUUCCCGUUUCUUCCGUAAUUCCUCUUGUUCAAGUCUUAUUUGUUCCUCCUGCGCCUCCAAAGUGUGCUUUUGUUUUAGAGCAGCCAUGCGCUCCUGUAAUGCUGCUCUCUCUGCUUGCGCUAAUAUUUUUGCAGAUGCACUGGAUGAAAUCCUUGACAAUUUAGAGCCAGCCUUUGAACGCGCUGCAGAACCUUUAUUGGAUACACUGUCCUCAGGCCCAAUAUCAGUUUGAUUAUCAGGUGGUUUAAUUGGAAGUUCAUAUGAAUGGCCUGCAUUUGAUAACCAGCCUUUGACGUCAUCAAUAAAGCUUGAAAAACACUUCUCCUUUUGUUCAAAAUAUUUAUCUUGUUUCUCCUUCUCAUCCUGAGGUAUGUCCAGUGACACAAAUGAUAAAUGAUGUUGUUUUGCCUCAUCAACACAUAUUAUUAUUUGAUCCAAAAGAGACUUGACUGCAUCAAUAUUGUCUGCAGAAUGCAUCAACUUAUCCAUCUGAUUCAUGUACGAUUUGGCUCGUUUGUAUUGCAUCGAUCUCUUUUCCUGACACGUUUGCAUAAAAAACAUCAUUCCUUUAGCAGUAAAACUUGUGCGUCUUCUUGUAGGAAGCGCCGUGCCGCUUUUGGCUUUAGAUGCAACGUCAGACAUUUUACCCUUUGUUGAUGCCGGUCAUGUACACCCACGGUUGUUUGCAAAGAUUGAAUACAGCACAUACCUUGUGGAACUUUGUUUGUUGCGGUGGUUGCCUUUGUACACGGAGUUGAAUGCACGCAGUAGCUGUUGUUGCGCGCGGCCGUGCGCGUUACCUGUGAAGGCUUUGGGCCUUUGCGAAUUCAAAUUGCAGCAAAUAAUAUCCUCCACUCCGUAGUGCAGCUCCAGCGCUCCAGUAGCUUCACCGUUAUCCAGUACGGUGUCCAGGGAAACUUUACACUGUCGGAUGGGUCGUAUUAUUCGAUGUUUGCACUGUAUCCAGCCCACACCUCCGUCACUCCUAGGCCCUUUCCUUUGUUUGUCUCCCGCAUCCAGAGCCACUCUGCCGACAGCAGACCCGUUGCACUGCUCACCCUGCCAGGAUGAUGUCCGGCUUGCCGUCCUGCAGGACGCGCUGGCGUUUUGAUGGCAGUGGCUGUUUGGUCCGCUGGAGCCCAAAAAGCUCCAUAUCUGUCUGCCUUUUUAUCCCUCCAUCCAUCCUGUCCCUCCAUCCUUCAUCUCCUGGGGACAGGUUUCCAUCAACGUGCUCGAUGCACCAGCAUCAUCAUUCUCCCGAGUGACCAGCAGAUGUCACUAUUAUCUCUGUGUUAAAUCUCACUGGACUGCCGCUGCUGACAUGUCUGGCUCACACUGAUAGCAUUUGUCAAAUUUGUUUCACAUCAUUACACUUUUUUAUUCAACACACCCUCUCGAAGUGAACUAUUGUCAAAUGAUAAAUCUUUCUAAUGAGUUCAAAGCAGCCGAUGAUUUUGGCAAGUCUGACCCAACCCUAA
ensembl:lncRNA